UACGAAGGUGGCUAGCGUUACUCGGAUUGACUGGGCGUAAAGGGCGCGUAGGCGGCUUGUACAGUCAGACGUGAAAUUCCUGGGCUCAACCUGGGGGCUGCGUUUGAUACGUGCGGGCUUGAGUUCGGAAGAGGGUCGUGGAAUUCCCAGUGUAGAGGUGAAAUUCGUAGAUAUUGGGAAGAACACCGGUGGCGAAGGCGGCGACCUGGUCCGAUACUGACGCUGAGGCGCGAAAGCGUGGGGAGCAAACAGG
rnacentral:rRNA from 1 species